GUGCUUGCUUUGGCAGCACAUGUACUAAAAUUGGAAUGAUAUAGAGAUUAGCACGGCCCCUGCGCAAGGAUGACAUGCAAAGUCAUGAAGCCUUCCAAUAAAAAAACAUUUCU
rfam:Homo sapiens chromosome 1, GRCh38 reference primary assembly.